AUACGGAGGAUCCGAGCGUUAUCCGGAUUUAUUGGGUUUAAAGGGAGCGUAGGCGGGAAGUCAAGUCAGCUGUGAAAUGUAGGUGCUCAACGCCUGCACUGCAGUUGAAACUGGUUUUCUUGAGUGCGUAAGGGGCAGGCGGAAUUCGUCGUGUAGCGGUGAAAUGCUUAGAUAUGACGAAGAACUCCGUUCGCGAAGGCAGCUUGCCGGGCCGCAACUGACGCUGAAGCUCGAAGGUGCGGGUAUCGAACAGGAUUAGAUACCCUGGUAGUCAGCACAGUAAACGAUGGAUACUCGCUGUCGGCGAUAUACGGUCGGUGGCCAAGCGAAAGCGUUAAGUAUCCCACCUGGGGAGUACGCCGGCAACGGUGAAACUCAAAUGAAUUGACGGGG
rnacentral:rRNA from 1 species